CAGUCGCCGCGGUAAUACGUAGGGUGCAAGCGUUAAUCGGAAUUACUGGGCGUAAAGCGUGCGCAGGCGGUUAUAUAAGUCAGAUGUAAAAUCCCCGGGCUCAACCUGGGAACUGCAUUUGAGACUGUAUGGCUAGAGUGUGUCAGAGGGGGGUAGAAUUCCACGUGUAGCAGUGAAAUGCGUAGAUAUGUGGAGGAAUACCGAUGGCGAAGGCAGCCCCCUGGGAUAACACUGACGCUCAUGCACGAAAGCGUGGGGAGCAAACAGGAUUAGAUACCCCAGUAGUCCCUGUCUCUUAUAC
rnacentral:rRNA from 1 species